GCAAUUAUCUGGAUUGGCUUUUUAACAGAUGUUGGAAAGCUGGAACACUCUUUUAUACGUUAAAUAGAAGACAAAGGCAUACCAUUGGCGAUUAAAAAUGAAUGGCAUACAAGAUUGUGCGAAACCUGACUCUGAGCCACAACUGCAGUUUUUAAACUGUCCUCACGCUUCGUGUGGGGCAACGUUUACUCGCGAAUGGCGACUGAAAGAACACGAAACUGUACACACUGGAUUGCGUCCUAUCCAGUGUAAACAUGAUGGCUGUGGUCGUUGUUUCUCACGGAUAUCGCACCUGAAGAGGCAUAGUUCAAAGCACACUGCAGCCAAGUCACUUAAAUGUACGUUGGUGAGUUGUACAGAAACUUUCUUCGACGAAG